AUGAAGGACUGCCAUGCCGUGCACGCUCCAAUGGAGGCACGGCUGAAGCUCAACAAGGAUAGCUCCGAGAAGGCGGUGGAUGCUACACUCUACCGCAGCAUCAUCGGGAGUCUCAGGUACCUCCUGCACACCCGACCGGACAUCACGUUCGUUGUCGGAUACCUGAGUAGGUUCAUGGAAGCCCCGGCAAGCGAUCACCUCGCUGCCGUCAAGCACCUGCUCCGGUACAUCGCGGGUACGCUCACGCAUGGAUGCGUAUAUCGUCGUGGCGAUGGCGAGAGCUUGGUCGGAUACAGCGACUCCGACCAUGCUGGUGACGUGGACUCCCGGAAGAGCACCUCGGGCAUACUAUUCCUUCUCGGGAAUAGUCCCGUCAUCUGGCAAUCAGUGAGGCAGAAGGUUAUCGCCAUAUCUUCGUGCGAGGCGGAGUACAUCGCGACAGCUACAGCGGCCUGUUAA
rnacentral:rRNA from 1 species